GACGAACGCUGGCGGCGUGCUUAACACAUGCAAGUCGAACGGUGAAGCGCUUGCCUUUUUGGUGGGUGUGGAUGAGUGGCGAACUGGUGAGUAACACGUUAGUAACCUGCCCUCUUCUUCUGGAUAACCUCAUGAAAGAGGUGCUAAUACGGGGUAUUCCGGGUCUGUCGCAUGUCGGGUUUGGGAAAGAUUGCGCCUUUGGGAGUUUUCGUUGGGGUUUGGUUUCGCGGCCGAUCAGCUUGUUGGUGGGGUGAUGGCCUACCGAGGCGGUGACGGGUAGCCGGCCUGAGAGGGUGGCCGGCCACGAUGGGAAUGAGGCACGGACCAGACUCCGGCGGGAGGCAGCAGUGGGGAAGGUUGCACAAUGGGCGCAAGCCUGAUGCAGCGACGCCGGGUGAGGGAUGGAGGCCUUCGGGUUGUGAACCUCUUUCGCAAGUGAAGGAGGCAUGCUCCUGUGUGGGUGGGUUGACGGUAGCUGGACAAGAAGCGCCGGCUAACUACGUG
rnacentral:rRNA from 1 species